rnacentral:rRNA from 1 species
UACGUAGGGUGCAAGCGUUGUCCGGAAUUAUUGGGCGUAAAGAGCUUGUAGGCGGUCUGUCGCGUCUGCUGUGAAAACUCGGGGCUUAACCCCGGGCCUGCAGUGGGUACGGGCAGACUAGAGUGCGGUAGGGGAGACUGGAAUUCCUGGUGUAGCGGUGAAAUGCGCAGAUAUCAGGAGGAACACCGGUGGCGAAGGCGGGUCUCUGGGCCGUAACUGACGCUGAGGAGCGAAAGCGUGGGGAGCGAACAGG